rnacentral:rRNA from 1 species
GUUGACCUCGGAUCAGGUAGGGAUACCCGCUGAACUUAAGCAUAUCAAUAAGCGGAGGAAAAGAAACCAACAGGGAUUGCUCUAGUAACGGCGAGUGAAGCAGCAAUAGCUCAAAUUUGAAAUCUGGCGUCUUCGGCGUCCGAGUUGUAAUUUGUAGAGGAUGCUUCUGAGUAGCCACCGACCUAAGUUCCUUGGAACAGGACGUCAUAGAGGGUGAGAAUCCCGUAUGCGGUCGGAAAGGCGCUCUACACGUAGCUCCUUCGACGAGUCGAGUUGUUUGGGAAUGCAGCUCUAAAUGGGAGGUAAAUUUCUUCUAAAGCUAAAUAUUGGCCAGAGACCGAUAGCGCACAAGUAGAGUGAUCG